rnacentral:rRNA from 1 species
UACGUAGGGGGCAAGCGUUGUCCGGAAUUAUUGGGCGUAAAGAGCGUGUAGGCGGUCCGGUAAGUCGGCCGUGAAAGUCCAGGGCUCAACCCUGGGAUGCCGGUCGAUACUGCCGGACUAGAGUUCGGAAGAGGCGAGUGGAAUUCCCGGUGUAGCGGUGAAAUGCGCAGAUAUCGGGAGGAACACCUAUGGCGAAGGCAGCUCGCUGGGACGUUACUGACGCUGAGACGCGAAAGCGCGGGGAGCAAACAGG